UGGGGAAUAUUGCACAAUGGGCGGAAGCCUGAUGCAGCAACGCCGCGUGAGCGAUGAAGGCCUUCGGGUCGUAAAGCUCUGUCCUCAAGGAAGAUAAUGACGGUACUUGAGGAGGAAGCCCCGGCUAACUACGUGCCAGCAGCCGCGGUAAUACGUAGGGGGCUAGCGUUAUCCGGAAUUACUGGGCGUAAAGGGGGCGUAGGUGGUUUCUUAAGUCAGAGGUGAAAGGCUACGGCUCAACCGUAGUAAGCCUUUGAAACUGGGAAACUUGAGUGCAGGAGAGGAGAGUGGAAUUCCGAGUGUAGCGGUGAAAGGCGUAGAUAUUAGGAGGAAUACCAGUUGCGAAGGCGGCUCUCUGGACUGUAACUGACACUGAGGCACGAAAGCGUGGGGAGCAAACA
rnacentral:rRNA from 1 species